GUCUUUUUGAGUAUAAUAUAAGGUCUAACCUGCCCAAUGAUUAAUUAAAUGGCCGCAGUAUCUUGACUGUGCAAAGGUAGCAUAAUCAUUAGUUUUUUAAUUGAAAGCUAGAAUGAAUGGUUGAACGAAAAAAAUUCUGUCUCAAUUUAAUUUAAUUAGAAUUUUAUUUUUAAGUUAAAAAGCUUAAAUUUUAUUAAAAGACGAGAAGACCCUAUAGAGUUUAAUAAUUUAUAAAUUUAUUUUUUAGAAAUUUAGUUAAUUUAAAAAAUUAUUUUAUUGGGGUGAUAAAUAAAUUUAAUUAACUUUAUUUUUAUUUUACCAUAUAUAAAUGAAUAAUUGAUCCAUUGUAUGAUUAAAAGAUUAAAUUACCUUAGGGAUAACAGCGUAAUUUUUUUAGAGAGUUCUUAUCGAUAAAAAAGAUUGCGACCUCGAUGUUGGAUUAAAAUUAAAUUUUGGUGUAGAAGCUAAAAAUUUUAAGUCUGUUCGACUUUUAAAAUUUUACAUGAUCUGAGUUUAAACCGGUGUGAGCCAGGUUGGUUUCUAUCUUUAAUAAUAAAAUAUAUUUUAGUACGAAAGGACCAAAUAUUUGUUAUAUUAAUUAGUUUAUUGAAUAU
rnacentral:rRNA from 1 species